UAACCAAUGAAGUUUUCUCUUUAUAUGUGAUAAUAAUAAUUCAAUUGGAAAAUGUAUAGAAUAGAAACUAUUAUACAAAUGCAUACUAUAAGCCUUGAACAUACAAAAUAUAGUUAACAAUAACAUAAAUUGAUGUAAAGUCUAUGGUUAACAAUUAUAAUGAUCACGUUCGUUUUAUAAUUUUUUUAAAAAUGUAUAAAAAAUCAAAGAAAUCAUAACUAAUUAUUGGUUUAUUUUCAAUAAGUCCGACAUGAACUUGUGAAGCGAUCGAAUGAUGGUGACCAAAGUUCCCUAAUUGAAGCAAUUUUAGAAUUAAAUUGUAGUAUUAAGUAUUCAGAUAAUAUAAAUUACAAUACACCUAAGUAGAAAUUACGUUUUCUAACCGUUUUUAUUUAUCUUUAUCGUUAUUUAUUAUUAUCCUUAUCAUUUCGAACAAUACUGUCAUCUAGGCUUUCUAAUGGCAACAUUUUAUUUAUGUAAACUAGAAAAAUUAAGUAAAUGAGGAGGAAAUUAAUCUUUAUCAAUAAACUUCGAUUUAUAUGAAAAUCAUGGUUUAAGAUAUAAGUGUAUCUUUAAUCCUGAUGACAAUGCAGAAAAUAUUUUAAUGAUUUUUCAUUUCAUGUUAUCAUGGGGAACAACUAUCUAUGCUCAAAAUGUAAACGAACGGUCUUAGAAUAAUUUGUUAUGCGAUUACUAAUAUCGUGUAUGAAACCAAUAACCAUAAACAUAAGUUUAUUGUCGAUGGUCUCUGGUAUGAAAUAAUACGCGCGAUUUGAUAAAAAUCAUUAUCUAGUACAUUUGGA